rnacentral:misc_RNA from 1 species
GAUGAAGAACGUAGCGAAAUGCGAUACGUAAUGUGAAUUGCAAAUUCAGUGAAUCAUCGAGUCUUUGAACGCACAUUGCGCCCCUCGGUAUUCCGUGGGGCAUGCCUGUUCGAGCGUCAUUUACCCCUCAAGCACUGCUUGGUGUUGGGCGUCUGUCCCGCUUCGCGCGCGGACUCGCCCCAAAGGUAUUGGCAGCGGUCGUGCCAGCUUCUCGCGCAGCACAUUGCGCUUCUCGAGGAGGUCGAUCGGCGUCCACGAAGCUCACCUCCACCGUUUGACCUCGGAUCAGGUAGGGAUACCCGCUGAACUUAAGCAUAUCAAUAAGCGGAGGA